CGGCACAGCAAGAGCCUAUCUCUAAUAAGAGAACAUAAGAAUUCCUUUUGUUUUUUGCCUACUCUUCUCCUACCACCUCUUUUCUACUACAAUGUUAUGAUAAGAGCAGCUGCCUUGGCAGUUUCUAAUUGCAGAUGUGGAAUCUAUUUCAAAUGAGUAAACUCUCCAAAGAAAAGUGUACUUGUUUUUGGCCACAGGAAUCUUAAGUGACUUAAUUAACAGCUCCCUCUUUGCCUUCUAACACAAUUGGAAGCUGUGUAAGACCUCACCAGAAGCAGACACCAGCACGAUGCUUCCUGUACACCCUGCAGAACUGUAAGCCAAUUAAACCUCUUUUCUUUAUGAAUUACA
rnacentral:lncRNA from 1 species